UACGUAGGGGGCAAGCGUUGUCCGGAUUUACUGGGCGUAAAGAGCGUGUAGGCGGCCAAGCAGGUCCGUUGUGAAAACUGGAGGCUUAACCUCCAGACGUCGACGGAAACCGCGUGGCUAGAGUCCGGAAGAGGAGAGUGGAAUUCCUGGUGUAGCGGUGAAAUGCGCAGAUAUCAGGAAGAACACCAAUGGCGAAGGCGGAUCUCUGGGCCAUUACUGACGCUGAGGAGCGAAAGCGUGGGGAGCGAACAGG
rnacentral:rRNA from 1 species